GAUUAGAUAUGGUGCAAUAUAUGUGUUUACCUUGCACGCCAUUGGCUGCGGCAAUCGACCGACGACGACUCUUGCUCUGUAGUUAGUAUCUUGUAUUACUCUCUGUUGUGCGUGAGCGAGGCGAGCUAGUUAUGGCGCAAUCUACUAUUAUGUACUUUGUCGUCUUUUUAGGAUUUAGAGUGUAUGUAUUAUGAGUCGUUUUAGAUUACUGUUAGCUUACUAUUAAGUAGGAAUCAUUAUGUUAGUUUAUGCUGGGAUUUAUCUGUGAGUAUUUACCAAUUCUUUUUUAUUUAGCUAUUCAAUCCCGGAAUCUAUCAAUAUUUGAAAUCAGCUCAUGCUUUCAAACUUAACUCACACCUUUAACUGUUUAAUCUACAAAUUGGCUAUUCUCUACGUGGGAGUGUUAUCGCCGUAUUGUUCUGCGUGUAUUCGAGUUGGAAUAUUACAACAAAGUUCUUUCAGUUGGUGUGAUCUUGUGAGGUGUUGGGGUUCAAAAGUUCAGUGGUUCAAGACUAUUAUAUCAGAAUUUCACAACUACACUUUGAAUAAUUCUGUCAAUUACUGUUCAAAACAUAGUGGUGAAUCUAUAAAGAGCCAAAUGGUAAUCAAAGACGCGUCGAGGUGGACAAUGUUAUCUAGUUUGGCAUUUUUCAUGCCUUGUGCCAUCUUCUCACUGAUCGUCACAGCAUGGAGCGAUAAAAUUGGUCGAAAACGGGCUAUUUCAUUUCCAAUAUUCGGAACAGCAAUUGCAUCGGCGGUACAAACAGUAGUAAUAUUUCACAGACUGCCUUUAUAUUGUAUGAUUAUUGUCAGUUUUAUAUACGGAGCUUCCGGUUCAUAUGUAGCAAUUUUAAAUAUUGGUACCGCGUAUCUGAGCGACAUAACGAGUCGAAGAGAUCGAAACAAGCGCUUCACAAUUUUAGAAGUUUGUGCAAAUUUUGGCAGUGGAAUGGUCCUUAUAGCUUCCGGAUAUUGGAUCGAUUCUCAAAGCUUUAUUCCGAGUUCGAUUUUUAUCACAGUUUGCGGAAUCAUACCAAUUAUAUUUAUUCCCAUGAUGACAUCAAAUGAGCACGAAACAAAUGAAUCACCGGAUUCUGCAAUUUGCAAAACUGAUUCAUUACUUCCAAAUCGCAAAUGCAAUGAGUCAAAUUAUGCAUAUUCAAUCAUCCAAUCUCAACUGAGCCAAAUAAGUGCAGAUCAAUCGGACGAUUUGUGUAUAUUACGGCGACACAGAAGAAAUGACAGUGAAUUCACCAAAAUUGACAUUGUGGUUGCAAAUCAAAGUCGUUUGGAGCAUAUAUACAGAAGAAAAGAUUAUUUGUGACUGUGUAAGAGACGAAACGGUGACCAGAAGAUGUAUUUACAAAAGAAGAUUAUGGCGCCUCUGGUUCUUUGUUAUUACCUAUGCUUGGUACGCAUUUGGAGUUACCGGCGGUGAUUCGUUUGAGACGUUGUUUCUUAUUUCAUAUCCAAUGUGCUUCACACCCGGUUUGGUUGGUCUUCAAAAUGGUAUUGCUAGCAGCAUUGUGAUAUUUGGUCCAGUCAUCAUGAAAUUUUGUGAGUCUGUACUGGGAUUGAAGAAUCAGAGCCUUCUGUUACUCACAAUUUGUACCCGUGUUUCAAGCACCCUGUUGAUGGGCUUAGCUGAAUCUCCUCUUCUAAUUUUUUUGGCAACAAGUCUCGGAGUUCUUUAUGAUUUCACUUAUCCUAUGAUACGAUCACAAAUAUCGUUGCUUGUAUCUUCCUCAGAACAAGGGUCGGCUCUUGCACUAUUGUCGGGAAUUGAAGGUGCAUUCAAUAUAUUUUCAUCGAUUUUAUUUUUAUACAUAUAUCCUCAAACACUUUAUAUUUCACACGGAUUCUUAUGGAUUGUAGAAAGCGUUAUAUUGUGCAUUCCAUUGAGUUUAAUGAUUGCAAAGGAAAAGUCAAUCGUCGAUAGAAGAACGGGAUGAAAAGUAUAAAGUACAAUAUUCAGUCAUAGAACAAACCAAAAUUUUAUUUAUAUAUAAAAUUUAUUGUAAAUUUACAAUUUUUUUCUGCAAACUUGAAGCUUAAUUUGUCAUUUCAACUUGCUAAAAUAGCUUAGCCAGUGUGUCUUUACAUACAUAUAUAUAAAACUCUUUUUAGAAUCGUUUGGGCUGUAGAUAAUAUAGAAAUUGCGCACAAAAAUAUUAUGACAAUCUCACAAGAGAAGCGGAGGAAUAUUAGGAAUGGAAUGAAGCUACUAGUUGUUACAUCACUCACUGCAUGUUGCUACAUAAUCACAAGAAGACUGU